rnacentral:lncRNA from 1 species
GAGUGCGCCACCAGUCCGCCAUCUUUCUUACCUUUUUGAUGGUUGUUGACUUGUAAAUUUUGUAAUUAGUUUUUGCCGACGUCCGUUUUUUAAGUAAUUUUUGGUAUUUUACAAAUUGUGUUACUUUAGUGGACACGUGGAGACAUGGACGCUGACUGUUGGAAGAAUUCGUCAAUUCAGACUGGCGCAAAGAGCUAUCAGGGCGCGAUGCCAGGAAUUUCAUUGCGAGACAGAAUUCGAAAUGAGGAUAUUCGCCAACGCAAUAAAGUUACCGACAUUGCAAAAAGGAUUAACUCAAGUGGGAAUGGACCGGCUAUAUUUUUCGCAGAGAUGACGAUCAAUGGGGUCGCCUAGUAUUGCUGUGGAGACCUAGCCUGGGUGGCCGAGGUGGCGGGAAACCACGAGCAGAUGGUCGGAUGACACAUAUAGAACGGAGUGGAAACCCACGGAAUGCAGACCAGGAUCAUAUACUUUAGGUAUGAGUUUGUUACUUUUGCUCAUAAUAACAUGGAGUAUGUCACGGCUGCUCCACGGGCUGCAUUGAAGGGCAACAGGAGCGAAAAUGUUAAAAUGGAAAGGAGCUCCCCCUUUCAAUUAGGGAAUCUUAGGAUAUGCUAAGGCAAACAGAAGGAGGCAAGGAACGGGACUGCAUCAAUUGCUGUCUGGAACCAAUCUUGUGGGAUGACUUCUGGACAGGGAAAAACAAUUUCAUCAUCUACCCUAAUACUGACGAAUGUUCUAAAACGUGCUGUAAGGCAGACAUUUCCAAAUGUAACGGAGGAAAGUUUCGAGACAUGUAAUGGUUUCAACAUGCUGCUGAGACCCAACUCAAGAGACGUCAGUUUGUACUGUUUAGUCCAUUCUCUAUUAGGCAUGCUUGUAUAGAGAGGUAUAUAUAUAUAUAUAUUGGAGUACAGACAUGGUGUUUGGUAUGAGUAUUAUAUACAUCCUUUUGAGUCAAAUAGGACCGGUAGCCACUUUGAACUCCGUGUCCGAAAGGGUCAAAGUAUGGAGCUCCCGGUACUCAGAAAAAAAAUUCUGGCCUAUUAGUUUUGAACUUUCGAGUCAAGUUUGGUGUCAUUUUUAAACUGUUCGCUUCGUUUUUAAAUUGAAGAAGAUUAAAAAUCACAGUAAUAUUAUAAAGGCAAAAGUUUGUGAGCAUACCGUGUUUGUUACUUCCUCACGCCACGCCCAAGUGCCUUAACAAAUAUUAUUUAUAAAAUUAAGUAUGGAGGAAGUACGAUAUACCCUAAGUUAACACGUCGCUUCUUCUUGAUCGUGGGUAACACUCGGGGCGCAGUAUAAUGAUUAUUAAAAAUCUUUAUGCUGUCCCCUAUGCUGCGAUGGCGAUCGUUGCAGUACUUUC